AAUGUGCACGUCACUUGGUUGUGCUAUUCCCAGUUUGGAACAGGAAGAACACAGACAGACUAGGGCAUCGGCGGUCAGCCGGCGGACCUCGCCGUGGGCGCUGCGGCGGAAAAAGUUCGCCACAGUACGGAUGUACUGUCCCCCGACUUCCAGCGGACAACUAGCCCCACCCCUGCCCGCCCUUCUCCAAGUCGGCGCAACCCCCUCCACAGCCACACACAGCGCCCAGCUCCACCAUCCGCCGACGCCGGAGAAGAGAACCCCCAGUCUUCAGGGAAGAAUGGAGUCAAUGAAAAGCAUGCAUUGCUCCAAGUGUCAGGUCAACUACAGCGAUAUGACUUGAAGAUGGAUUAAAAGACAAAGUGAACGCACAUGCUGGACAGAAAUUACACAUUUAGUUACAAUUGAUACUCAAUGGCGCAUUUUCAGAAAAUGCUUGGAAGCGAAACCUGUCCCGGAGAUUGUACAUUAAGACGUCUUGACAUGUUGACAGUCCAGGCACACCUGAGCCGCCAGAACCUCCAAGCGAUAGUACAGUCGUGUUCUUUCUGUUCCAAACGGCACAUCUUGUAAUCGAAACGUUACAGUCGGAGCACUCAUUCCACUGGAGCACAGGAUACUUUCCCACUGAGAUGGAGCAAAAGCUCAAGGAGACUGCCGCCAAGUGCGAGUCCCUGGAAACGAAAAAUAAAGCGAGGGUGACCGAACUCACCAAGGCCCUUCAAGAUGCUUCGGAGGCACGGUCCGAAUCCCACGCAGCGCGCGAGGAAAUCCGUCAAGCUGGUCAGAUAGCAACUGACGCAUAUGCGGAUCUGUCGACGAGUGCUACGGACGCCGCCCAAUUCUUCCAGGUCCAGGAGGGGUACAAGUCAGAGAAGCUCUUCUGGUCGCAGUUUGUGGAGCAGGAGCGUCCCCUACUGCUAAAUGACCAGAUGGCACAAUGGGCGGAGCUACAUAAGAUGUCUAGCGUGGCCAUGAAGGACGUCAUAGUCCGGCUGUGGCCUGCUGAAGCCGUUCCGGGCAGCUACUUCGGCCUCGUGCGGCAUCUCAUCGAUGCGCUGCACCGGAUUGACGCUGUCAAGAGGUAGUCCUGCAUGGAAGGAGCGCGUAUGGCUUUCGCCCGUGUCAAGAUGCACUGGGUGAAAAUGAAUGCCGAAAAGGUGGCGGUCGAGGGUCCUCUCGAAAGCAAGGCCCACCGCACACCAGAGCGCUAUUUUGAGGACAUGCUAAAAGGAGCUUGCCUUAUAGAGGGCCAAUGCUCUAAGGACGUAGUGUUUGAAUAAAAGAGUCUGAACUGUCCGGGAUUUGUGUUAUAAAUGAAGUGUUUUGUAAUAUAUUCAUUCCUUGAUGAAAAGUUUUUA